rnacentral:rRNA from 1 species
GAUGAACGCUGGCGGCGUGCUUAACACAUGCCAGUCGAACGAAGCAUUUGCGACAGAUUUUUUCGGAAUGAAGUUGCUUAUGACUGAGUGGCGGACGGGUGAGUAACGCGUGGGUAACCUGCCUUGUACUGGGGGAUAGCAGCUGGAAACGGCUGGUAAUACCGCAUAAGCGCACAAUGUUGCAUGACAUGGUGUGAAAAACUCCGGUGGUAUAAGAUGGACCCGCGUCUGAUUAGCUAGUUGGUGAGAUAACAGCCCACCAAGGCGACGAUCAGUAGCCGAACUGAGAGGGUGACCGGCCACAUUGGGACUGAGACACGGCCCAGACUCCUACGGGAGGCAGCAGUGGGGAAUAUUGCACAAUGGAGGAAACUCUGAUGCAGCGACGCCGCGUGAGUGAAGAAGUAAUUCGUUAUGUAAAGCUCUAUCAGCAGGGAAGAUAGUGACGGUACCUGACUAAGAAGCUCCGGCUAAAUACGUG